AAUCUAGCGAAGCGGUCAAACGCGUUAGCUUAAGGCGCUAAUCCUUCGGGUUCGUGGGUUCGAAUCCCACCCUUUCC
rnacentral:ncRNA from 13 species